rnacentral:pre_miRNA from 1 species
AAGAAGUGUGACAUGUCGUUUGGUGAUAAACUCUGAUGUUAUAUUUAUUAUUUAAUUGAUUUUGAGAAACGGGGUGUUACAGUAGA